AGUUUCUUACAACAACCUAACCAACCUUACUGGUGCCAUCCAAAUUAUGAUGGGUUGCAAGAAUCUCACCACUCUCAUCCUCUCAGUGAAUUUCAUGAAUGAAACCAUACCAGAUGAAGACACAAUAAACUCAAGUGGAUUCCAGAACCUCCAGGUUUUGGGGCUGGGUGCUUCGCAACUCUCAGGUCAAGUGCCCACCUGGCUAGCCAAGCUCAAGAACCUAGAGGUCUUGGACCUCUCUUUUAAUCAAAUCACAGGUUUUAUUCCCAGUUGGUUGGCUAGUCUACCAAGCCUUUUCUACAUAGACUUGUCUGGUAACCUCCUAUCAGGAGAAUUUCCCAAGGAACUUGCAGGAUUGCCAACACUAGCAUCACAAGGAACUAGUGAACUAUUUGGCCGGAGUUAUUUUCCGCUGCCUGUGUUUGCCCAGCCCAAUAAUGCUACCUAUCAGUACAGUCAGCUGUAUAACCUGCCACCAGCUAUAAUCUUGGGAAACAACCACCUUAGUGGCGAUAUCCCAAUAGAGAUUGGCCAAUUGAAGUUUAUUCAUGUGCUAUGUUUGAAUAAUAACAACUUCUCUGGCAAUAUUCCUGAUCAAAUAUCAAACCUCACCAACUUAGAGCAAUUGGAUCUCUCUGGAAACCACCUAUCUGGAGAAAUUCCUGCAUCACUCAAAGGUCUCCAUUUCUUGUCUUCAUUUAGUGUCAGAGAUAACAAUCUUCAAGGACCUAUACCAUCCGGAGGUCAGUUUGAUACUUUUCCUCUUUCCAGCUUUACAGGGAAUCCAGGGUUGUGUGGUCAAAUUCUACAACGUUCUUGCUCCAAUUAUUCAUCAGAUUCAGGACUUGUCCAUCCUACAGCACCUCACAAAAGCAAAAACGCAAAACUGGUUGUUGGACUUGUCCUUGGAAGCUGUUUAGGGACUGGUCUAUUAAUUGCAACGCUAGCUUUGUGGAUAUUGUCGAAGAGAAGGAUCAUUCCUGGAGGGGACACUGACAACAUACAGAUAGAUACACUUUCUAGCAACUCCGGAUUGCCUCCGGAGGCUGACAAGGAUACUAGCCUGGUUAUAUUGUUUCCUAACAAUACUGAUGGGCUUAAGGAUCUGACAAUAUCUGAACUCUUAAAAGCCACUGAUAACUUCAAUCAAGCAAACAUUAUUGGUUGUGGGGGUUUUGGUUUGGUUUAUAAAGCAACACUGGCAAAUGGGACCAAGCUGGCUAUCAAGAAACUCUCAGGAGAAAUGGGUCCCAUGGAAAGGGAAUACAAAGCAGAGGUAGAGGCUCUGUCCACAGCCCAACAUGAGAACCUGGUUUCAUUGCAAGGUUAUUGUGUGUACGAGGGUUUUAGGCUGCUUUUAUAUUCCUAUAUGGAGAAUGGAAGUUUGGAUUACUGGUUACAUGAGAAAGCUGAUGGUGUAGCACAGUUAGAUUGGCCUACUCGAUUGAAGAUUGCUAGGGGAACAAGCUGUGGUCUGUCUUACAUGCACCAAAUAUGUGAACCCCACAUUGUUCAUCGUGAUAUCAAGUCCAGCAACAUCCUGCUUGACGAAAAGUUUGAAGCACAUGUAGCAGAUUUUGGAUUGUCCAGGUUGAUUCUUCCUUAUCAUACUCAUGUUACAACCGAGCUUGUUGGUACUCUGGGUUAUAUUCCUCCAGAGUAUGGGCAAGCAUGGAUAGCCACAUUGAGAGGAGACAUGUAUAGUUUUGGGGUUGUUAUGCUUGAGCUGCUGACAGGGAAGAGGCCUGUGGAGGUAUUCAAGCCAAAGAUGUCAAGAGAACUAGUUGGCUGGGUCCACCAAAUGAGGAGUGAUGGCAAACAAGACCAAAUCUUUGAUCCUCUCCUGAGAGGAAAGGGCUUUGAUGAUGAGAUGCUCCAAGUGCUAGAUGUGGCCUGCAUGUGUGUUAACCAGAACCCUUUCAAGAGGCCAACCAUCAAGGAAGUUGUUGAGUGGUUGAAGAAUGUAGGCUCACAAAAAAACCAAAAUAAGGAUUAAUGGGAGUAUCCUUUUGCACGUGAAGAAUUACAGAUAUAUAUAUAUAUAUAUA
rnacentral:misc_RNA from 1 species